rnacentral:rRNA from 1 species
CAAUAGCGUAUAUUAAAGUUGUUGCGGUUAAAAAGCUCGUAGUUGGAUUUCUGCUGAGAACGACCGGUCCGCCCUCUGGGUGUGUAUCUGGCUCUUUCUUGGCAUCUUCUUGGUGAACGUUGCUGCACUUGACUGUGUGGAGCGCUACCCAGGACUUUUACUUUGAGGAAAUUAGAGUGUUUCAAGCAGGCAUACGCCUUGAAUACAUUAGCAUGGAAUAAUAAGAUAGGACUUUGGUCUAUUUUGUUGGUUUGCAGACCGAAGUAAUGAUUAAUAGGGAUAGUUGGGGGUAUUUAUAUUCCGAUGUCAGAGGUGAAAUUCUUAGAUUUUCGGAAGAUAAACUUAUGCGAAAGCAUUUACCAAGGAUGUUUUCAUUAA